GACGAACGCUGGCGGCGUGCUUAACACAUGCAAGUCGAACGGUAAGGCCCUUCGGGGUACACGAGUGGCGAACGGGUGAGUAACACGUGGGUGAUCUGCCCUGCACUUCGGGAUAAGCCUGGGAAACUGGGUCUAAUACCGGAUAGGACCACUGCCUGCAUGGGUGGUGGUGGAAAGCUUUUGCGGUGUGGGAUGGGCCCGCGGCCUAUCAGCUUGUUGGUGGGGUGAUGGCCUACCAAGGCGACGACGGGUAGCCGGCCUGAGAGGGUGACCGGCCACACUGGGACUGGGAUACGGCCCCGACUCCUACGGGAGGCAGCAGUGGGGAAUAUUGCACAAUGGGCGCAAGCCUGAUUCAGCGACGCCGCGUGAGGGAUGACGGCCUUCGGGUUGUAAACCUCUUUCAGCACCGACGAAGCGCAAGUGACGGUAGGUGCAGAAGAAGGACCGGCCAACUACGUGCCAGCAGCCGCCGUAA
rnacentral:rRNA from 1 species